rnacentral:rRNA from 1 species
CGCAAGCCUGAUGCAGCAACGCCGUGUGAGUGAAGAAGGUUUUCGGAUCGUAAAACUCUGUCCUAAGGGAAGAACAAAUGACGGUACCUUAGGAGGAAGCCCCGGCUAACUACGUGCCAGCAGCCGCGGUAAUACGUAGGGGGCAAGCGUUAUCCGGAAUCACUGGGCGUAAAGGGUGCGUAGGCGGCUUAGCAAGCCAGGGGUGAAAGGCAUUGGCUCAACCAAUGUAAGCCUUUGGAACUGUUAGGCUUGAGUGCAGGAGAGGUAAGUGGAAUUCCUAGUGUAGAGGUGAAAUUCGUAGAUAUUAGGAGGAACACCAGUGGCGAAGGCGACUUACUGGACUGUAACUGACGCUGAUGCACGAAAGCGUGGGUAGCGAACAGGAUUAGAUACCCUGGUAG